GGGUAGGGUGAUGGGUGGACCCCCAUCUCUUCCUCUCUCUCCUUCUACUUUCACUUCCACCUCUGUGCCCAAAAAAGCCCAAGCCCAACUGGUGACCCCACUCCCUGCAGCCCCAGGGGAUCUCCAGGGAGCUCAGCUCCAUCUCAGGGAUUGCUCCUCAGCCCCACAAUGGAUCCGACCCCCUGGUCAGACCAGUACAGACUGGGGAGCUUUGCCUGCCUUUAUAGUGUGAUCCCGGCCUCUGCCUGGGAUCCCUGGGGUGUGCAUUACCAACCUGUGGCAGCAGCAGGAGGAUGAGCACCGUGGCCCCCCUGCUUUUUCUGGGGCAGGACCAGGUGCGAAGUAUGCUGCCGUGUGAGGCUUGUGGCACUUUCGCUUAGUGCGAUGAUGGGUUUGUUUGGACAGGGCUGAUUCUGACUCAGGUGGCAGCUGGACUGGAGGUGAGCUCUGCAGGCCCCCUCAGCCCCUCUCUUCUAGCAUUUCCAUGAUGAGAAUGUCCCCUAGAGCCGUGGCUCCCAACCUUUUUAGACUGCGGACUGGCAAACCACGAACGAAAGCAGAACCUUUCAUAGAUGUAAUUGCAUAGACAUUAGGGCUGGAAGGGACCUUGUAAAACCAUUCACGUCGGCCCUCACAUUUUCCAUUUAUUUCUUCAUGGUGGCUGGCCAUGGAGCUGGUGCGCUUAUUGAACUUUCUGCAAUCACUCCCAGGUCUAUUUCCUGUGUGGUAACAGUUCACGUGGAGCCCGUCAUGGUGUCAGUCUCAUUUAUACAAUUCUCAUUCAAAUGUGUUCCUGGCCCAUUUCACUCAGAUCAUGACCCAAUGUCCAACAGAGUAGGGAAACUGAGUCGUGGGCGACCAGUGCAAAGCCCCACGCUUGAGAGGGAAUAAUUGCACUCACCAAUCCAGCCUGAGGAACGUAUAGCCGGGUUGUAGCCCUGCAGAGAUGACCUGGGGGGUGGCAGGGGCCAUGAGCUGGCUCCGAGCCAGCCAUGUGCUUUAGUGGUAAAAGAAAUCAGAAUCCUCCUGAGCAGCAUGAGCAGGAGUGCCCCUUGCAAACCAAAGGCAGGGAUCCUCCAGCACUGGGGAGACCUCCCCUGCAGUCCUGGCUCCAGUUUGGGACCCCACACUUCCAGAAGGAGGUGGAGAGGUUGGAAAGAGGCCAGCAAAGAGGGACCCAAAGGAUGAGGGGCCUGGGAGUCAGGGGGGGUGGGGAGAGGCUGGAAGAGCUCAGUUGCUUGAGUCUGGAGAAGAGAAGACUGAGAGGGGUUUGACCCCAGUCUUGGGGCAACACCAGAGAAGAUGAAGACUGGGAUUUCUGCAUGUCUGUCAGGGACAAGACUGGGAGCAGCGGUCUGCAGCUGCAGCAGGGGAAACUGAGGCUGGAGAGGAGGAGGAAUGGGCUGGCAGUGCCCCGCUGGAGCUACAUAAGGGUUCAUUGAACUCAGGAGAUGCCAGGCAGAAAGUCUACCCCCACUACAAAAGAAGACUGGCCCUGCACCACCCCUGCUCACCACCUCCAGCAGUGCAGAAAGGGUGGACACACAUGCCCACCCCAUGAUGCAGGAUAGCAUGCACACACACGCACGCACACACACACACACACAUACACACACACACACACACACACACACACACACACACACACACACACACCCUCCCCCCAUGCAGGAAGGUGGGCAUAGAAACACAUACAAGCCCUGUGCAGAAAGGAAUGCAUGUGUGUGUGAACACACAUCCUGUACAGGAAGGCAGACAUGUGUGCACCCCUGUGCAGGGGUAUGGGGACACCCUCACAUGCAGGAGGGCAUGCACACACACACGUACACCCCCUGCAGGAGGGCAGACAGGCACACACCCACCCCCUCCACCACAGGUUGCCCCCGAGGUGGGCACAACUGAACAGCAGGGCCAAGGGAGGGGAAGCAGAGCUGGGGGAGGGGGCAGGGGUCAGGUGCCAGGCCACCCCCUCUUUCUGCUCCUGCUGUCCCAGUACAAGCCCCACCAGGCUGGCACUGCUGCCUGCUGCUGGGGAAACAGAGGCUGGAGAGGAGGAGGAGGGCUCCGUGCUUGUGUGGAGGGGUGUGCUCUGCGUGUGCAAGGGGCAAUGGGGUUUGGGCCUGGGGGAGAGAUGAUGUACACUCUGGAUGUGCAAGAGGCAGGAGAGUCUGAGCCUGGGGGAGAGCAGGUAUGUGAUCUGAGUGUACAAGGAGUAGGGUAGUACAGGCCUGGGGAAGAGAAGGUGUGUGCUCUGUGUGUGCAAGGGGCAGGGGAGUCCAGGCCUGGGGGAGAGAAAGUGUACUUUGGGUGGGAGCAGAUAUGGGGACGCAGGCCCCUGCUCCCUGUGCAUGCUGUUUGCUGCAGCUGAGGCUGGGUGCCUGGGGACCAUCCUUUCUAUGCUGGAGGGAGCUGAGGCUCAGGCAGGGCUGUCCCGGGACUGGCUCUGAGAUGUAUCAGCUUCCCCUUCCUCUCCCCGUGGUGUCAAGUCAUCACUGUUAAAAUACUGCACAGCUUUUUGUUGAUUUUUACCAAGUCAAGGAACCAAACACCUCCCAUGCUAAGAAAAGAAAAGAAAAGAAAAGAAAAGAACCUGGCUGCCAGGGAUCAACUGAGCAACUCCUCACCUGAAGGUUCUCUGCCAAGAAGGAUCUGGAGGGACACUCUGCACUUCAAUAUGUAUCCAGGAAGAGGCAAUUGCCAUUCCAUACAUGUGGUGUUACACUGACAAGUGAAUUUCAAUAGUAUUCUGCUUUGUCGUGUGUAGCCCCAACAGAUCCCAGCCAGCGGUGUUGCACGGUCAAACACUGAAGACGGAGCCAGUGGCUGUCUUACAGGAGGUCUUGCAGGAGCACUCCUCAGAGAGGUUUGUUUGCCCAUUCUGCUGCUUGUAAGACUGAUGAACCCUGUGAGCUCCUAAAGCAUCUAGGGUGAUGGGACACACAGGGCUGAGGGAGAAGCUUGCAUCCUUAAAGAGGCAGAGUGUGACUCCAGUGUUGUUGUUGUUGUUGUUAUGUUAUGUUAUAGCCCAGGGGCUUAUAUUUAAGUUGCUAGUUGAAACUGGUGGACCGGACCGAGGCUUUUGGGGAGAAGGAGGCCUCAUAGGGGCACAACACCACACAGAGCCCCAGCACCAAAGACAGCAUGCAGACAGGGCUGGAGACAGUCCAGCGCCAGAGAGGGCAAACAGACAGGGCCAGAGAGAGCCCAGGGCCUAAGAAGGUGCUGAGACAGAUCCAGAGAGGGUGCAGAGACAGGCUGGAGAGAGCACACAGACCAGGCCGGAGAGAGCCCAGCGCCAGAGAAGCCAAACAGACAGGGCUGAAGAGAGCCCAGCAUGGAGAGGGUGCACAUACUGGGCUGGGGAGGGCACACAGACAGGGCUGGAGAGACCCCAGGGUGUGAAAACAGGUGUCAAGGGCCCAGUGAUGGCAGAAGGCUGAGCUAGAUUAAGGCCUCAGAAGUACAAAGUUCGAAUAUCACCUUUGAGGCAUGGGGCAUGGUAAAGGGCCAGUUUUGGAGCCACACAUCUAGCCCAUGAAGCUCAGGGUGUCUCAAGAGGCAUGGACUUUGAAUAAGUCCCAGCAAGGGAUCCAUGGGCAGCAGGAUCUGCUGUGGGGGAGCAGAAACUUAACCACAUAAACUCAUGGGCAGCUUCCCAUCUUAUUAUUUCAACAAACAAGAUGUGGCAGAUGAGACUAGAAGGUGCCCGCAGGGUGAAGCUGGCACAGUCAUGGAGUCCCAGGGGCAUCACAGCCAUCCCCGAGGACCCAGCAUCAUGACAAUGAGAAAGAUACCAGUACAUUAGGGCUGUGCAAAAUUUCACCAGCAGUUUCAUUUUGACACUAUUUCAACUAAUUCCAAGGUUGAAACAGCAGAAUUGAAAUGAAAAAAGGGCUUCAAAAGAGCCUAGAAACAAAACAAGGCUAGUCAAAAUGUUUUGACCAUAGCACUGGGAAUGGGAAGUCAGGCCAGCUGGGCUGACUUCCCAUCCCUGAAGCAAGAUUGGGCUGGGACAGGAGAUCAGCCCAGCUGGGCAGUGCUAGAUCCAGCCACCGACAGGGAGUCAGCGCAGCAGCGCUGACUUCCCAUCCCCGGUGCUAGAUAUGGCUGGGGAUGGAAAGUCAGCCCAGCUGGGCUGACUUCCCACUCCCAGGCUGCUCUAGUGUCAGGGAUGGGAAGUCAGCCCAACUGGGCUGACUCCACACCACAUGCCCUACUUAGUGAUGAUGAAGGGUCAGCUCAGUUGGGCUGAACCCCACCCCCCCCCCACACACACACACACACACUAGCACUGACCCCCUCCCCUAGCCCGCUCUAGUGCUGGGGAUGGGAAGUCAGACCAGCUGCACUGACUCUGUGUCCCCAGCCAGAUCUAGCACUGGGGAUGGGCAGUCAGCCCAGUUGGGCUGAAACCACACAGACAACCUACCUAGGGUUGGAGAUGAGAAGUCAGCUCAGUUGGGCUGAGCUCUGCCACCCCCUGCACACCCCAGCUGGGCUGACUUCCCAUCCCUGGCACUAGAUCUGGACAAGGAUGGGAGAUCAGCCCAUCUGGGCUGACUCUCCAUCCCCCACCCGCUGUAGCACUGACUGCCUGCCCCCCGCCCAAUCUAACAUCAGCAAUGGGAAGUCAGCCCAGCUGGACUGAUAUCCACCCCACCAUCCCAUUUAGUGCAGGGAUUGGGAAUUUAGCCCAGCUGGGCUGACUUCCCAUCCCCUUCACCCGAUCUAGUGUCGGGGAUGGGGAUUCAGCCCAGAUGGGCUGAUUCUCCCCUGCCUCUCCACCACCACCCAAUCUAGCACACAGUUUGGCGAGUUAGACCAGCUGGACUGACUACUAACCCCCUACCCACUCUAGUGCUGACUCUCUGCUCCCAGCCUGAUCUAGUUUUAGGGAUGGUGAGUCACCCAUGCUUUAAAUGUGCAUGCGGCCCAAGAAAUUGGCAAGGCAUUCAAUGUUGCAGGUGACCAGGUUUUGGAAACAGCAAUGCACAAUCUGCUCCCAAAAUUAAGGAAGUGGAAGUACUUUUGGAUGCCUUUGACAAAGCCCAGGAGGCAAUACAUGAAUCUUGCUUCCAUUGUGCUCCAGUGUACAAGCACGAUCACAGAGGGAAACAGGGACUCAUAUCUGGAAUCAUUUGCCGAAACAUUGCCUUGGUUUGCCAAUUUUGAACACGUGCAUUAUCUCAGAUGGGGAUGUGUUUUCUUGGUGGACAUGAAGCAACUGAAGAACACAGCAGCUGAAGUGCAUGCUGGCUUCCAGUCCAGUGACUUCGUUCUCCAAGAAACAAACCGGAGGUUCAGCCAUGUUCCAGAUGACCAAGGACUUGAGCAUGUAAACAACAUUUGGAAAAUCACUGGAGGACUGAUUGGAAUAAAUCAGAGUCACCCCUCAGUCAAUGGGGUUUGACGUAGGUAGAGCGAACCAGGCCUGCCAAUGACACCAGAAAAAUGCUUGGAGUAAUAAAAGGAAGAGGGACCACACAAAGAAUUGGGGAGAACCAGAAGUCAAAGGGAUGAGGAUUGUGUUAAAAAGCUGUCCACUGAGUUCAAAUUAUUCAGUGUUGAACAGGGAAUCCCCAGAGCUGGAUUGCCUCACUACUGGUGACAUUCCCAAGAACCAAUUAUACAAGCCCUCCUGAAUGAACAACAGUUAGGACAAAACAUCGUAGAGACAUUUGUCACUGCUCAAUUUGUUCAUAAAACUGUCAGUAUACAUGCACCAAUCCCAAAGAAAAAGUUUCAAACUCUUGCUUCCAUAUAUACAGUACAGGUAGCAACAGAAAAACUGAAAUAACAGACCUGAGUCAUGAGAGCUCAUCGUGAUCUUUUCAGAUGCCUACUUGUAUCUAUGGAUGCUGGCAGGGAUAUUGCUGUCGAGAACCUCCUGCGGCAAGAACUCUGCACUGUACCGCUAUCACUGACUACAACAGGUGGAAACGUGAAACCAGCAAACAAAGCUCAACUACUCUCCAUUUUGGAAGAGAAUAUUUUGCAGCCAAGUUUGAAAGAAACCCUGACUCCAACACGUGUAAUAAUUGAUGGUAUGGCUGUGGUUCAGGCCAUGGGAAAACCCAAGGACGCAGUGACCUUUGGAGACUAUGCGGAUGCUUUUGCGGUGAAUGUGAUGUCCAAUUUCAAGGAACUCUGCAGCAGGGUAGAUGCUGUGUUCAAUUGCUACACAGGCCCAUUGAUCAAGGAUGUUACUGGAAAGCUUUGAAUCAUGAAAGGAAGGGAAAUGAGAGGUGAAAUGAGCAGCAGGGACAUCAUGUUGCCUGUGCAAUGGAGAAUAUUCCUUGAAUGCAAGGAAAAGGAGGCAUCACUUGCUAUGUUCAUCAAAAGGGAAUUCUUACAGCAAGCAUCACAUGGUGACAAAGAGCUAAUAGUCAGUGGUGGUAAUGAUGGUUAUGCUGCCUCCUCAACUGGCAGAAACCUGGCCCAUCUCCACUCCACACAAGAAGAGCAGACACCUGUGUGAUCUUGCAUCUCUCUGAGACAAAGUCAGAAGGCCAUGACAGAGUCCUGGUCACAAGCAGUAGAUGUCCUGUUGCUACUGUCUGCAUUCUGGCCAGUCUCAGCAGUGAGCCAUGGAUGAAAGCAGGCACAUCAAAAACUCAGUGAUGCAUUGCUGUGCACAAGGUGGAAUGCUGUGCUGAAGGAAGGGAUAGGCUGCUGGCCACCACAGGGUGCGAUACCACAAACCAGGUUGCAUGAAUUUCUAAGAAGUUUGCUUGGAAGAUCUUCUGUGAAACUCUGCAUCUCCUGUCUCAGUUUGGAGUAUCUCACAUGCCAGAUGCCCAAGUGCUGGCCAGAGUCAAGGAAUUUGCAUAUAAAUGGUAUGAGCCUACAAGGGAGACAAAUUCCAUUCACACUCUGCAAUGUGCUCUGUUCAGAAAGGGAAAGAAGUGCAAGCUUGAAAACCUGCCACCAACACAAGGUGCACUUCUUCAGCACAUCCAUUGCACCCACUAACAAGCCUUAAUUUGGCCAAAUGCAAGGGUGGCAAAUCCACAGAUUCCAAGUCCCACAGAAAGUGGAUGGCACAUCCACACUGGAGUACUGUGUCCGUUCUGGAGUACUGUGUCCAGUUCUGGACACCCCACUUCAAGAGGGAUGUGGACAACAUGGAGAGGGUCCAGAGGAGGGCCAUCCACAUGAUCUGGGGACAACAGGGCAGACCCUAAAAUGAGAGGCUACGGGAUCUGAACCUGUUCAGCCUUCACAAGAGAAGGCUGAGGGGGGACCUGGUGACCAUCUAUAAACUCACUAGGGGGGACCAGAAGGGUUUGGGGGAGACCUUGUUUCCCCUAGCGCCCCCAGGGAUAACAAGGAAUAACAGCCACAAGCUGUUGGAGAGUAGGUUUAGAUUAGAAAUCUGUAGGAACUACUUUACAGUCAGGGUGGCUAGGAUCUGGAACCAACUUCCAAGAGAAAUGGUGCUGGCUCCUACCCUGGGGGUCUUUAAGAAGCGACUUGAUGCCUACCUGGCUGGGGUCAUUUGAGCCCAGUUUUCCUCCUGCCCAGGCAGGGAGUUGGACCUGAAGAUCUACAAGGUCCCUUCUGACCUGACUUCUAUGAUUCUAUGACCAUGGCACACUGUUGCCUCUACUGAUGACAACAAAAGGCCUUACAGUUGAGUGCUUGGACAUCACAGCCUGUGGAUGUAAAGCAAGUGGAUAUCAAUGUGUUACAGGGCAUUGUUUGUGCCCUAGACUCAAACUGGGAUGCACAGCAGCUUGCACAUGUGUGGAUUGGCUCCAAAACCACACAAUAAUGACCAUGACAGUGACUAGGUUUAUGCAUGAAUUGAAUGCUUCCAGCGAUAUGGUUUAGAAAAUGUAAUGUUUACUUGAGGAUCAGAUUUUAAUCCAAAAAUUAAAAAAUCAACCAAGAAACAUUGUCUGUUACUUGGUUGAUUUUCAGACCGCUAACUCCAGGAGCUCUAGUACUCAUUAGGCAGCAUGUUAUAGCCUAAGAUCAUAUUUUGGUGACAUAAGAACAUGAAAUGGAUACUUAAUUUUCCCAUAUUUAAAUUCAACAUCAGCAAAUACGUAUUAGUUAAUGUUGGAAACCCACAGACUGCUGUAACUCAUCUCAGUAGUGAUUCCUGCAGUGGAUUUUCUGAUCAAGGACAUGUUCCCCUAUUACAAAAAAAUCCACAUCCACAAUGUAACAAAACAUUUGCACAAACUUCAUUUUUUCAACCUGACAGCCUGUAUCAGACUAACAAAUAGCAAUGUGACAUAGGAGGUCAGGGGAAGGAAGACAAGCUCUUCACAUUCACUGGAUGAGGGUUGGAGUUUCAGGUGACCAUGAAGCCAGACUACAACAAGAGGGAGAUGUUCCCCUUUUUUGAUGCUGUGAGAGGGGAGCCAUGAUAAUUCCAAAGAGUAACAACUUUAAUUUUGCAACUCAGUUUUAAGAUAAAGUGUCAAAUUCUCCAUCAUACUUAUAUUAAUGUAAUGAGGGAUUCUGCUGGAAUUGGACACAAAAAUGCCCAAGAGAAUGCAGGAGACAAUUACACCUGGGCUGCAGACAAAAGACUACAACUUUUGAUUUAAAAAUGAUACCUUUUAGUAGACCAACUGGAAAAUCGCAAGAAAAUUGUCCUUUUCUGCAAUUUUCUUUUGCUUUCUUGUGAUUUCCCAGUUGGUCUAAUAAAAGGUGUCAUUUCUGAACCAAGAGUUCUAGUUUUGUGUAUGUCUUCUUGUCUCAGACCAACUCGGCUACCAGGUACACUCGUGAAACCCGGGCUGCAUGGAGUUUUUCUACUAGAUUCUCCAUUUCAGUUAAAAGUGCAGUAUUGUUUAUGUUUAUAAUCAAAAUAGUUGGAUAAGAAAAAACCGUCACAUGAGCAACAACUUGUUUGAUAUAAAGUUGCCCCCCGAUGCACCAUUACACAUGUAGAAGCCCAGUUCGUUCCUACAGGCUCUACCAUUGGAAGAGAUCUUUGCACCAUGCUAGUCCUUCUAAUACUCAGGGGGUGACCUGACUGUAUUAUACCUUUUACAAACACAUGCAUUUAGGCUAGGUACAGACAUUCAAAAAGUCCGAGGCAGACUUGAUCUGAGUUCUGUGGUUGUCUGUACGUGGAAUCGUUUAGAUAGGAAAGGUUGAAGGAAGCUUGUAGCUGGGAUAGUACAGGAAGUGUGGAGAUGCCAGGACAGUCUAUUAUCUUUCAUUGGAUCAACUGGAGAGUUGGGAGAGCUGUUGAGCAAGCUUUUGGGCUGGGAAAGGGCACCUGGUGCCCAAAAGUUUCCUAGCAGCUCUCCCAACUCUGCACUUGGUCCAAUAAAAGAUAUCACAAAAAGUCCGCCCUCACUAUAAUUCAAGCAGCAUUGCACAAACUGUUUGCACAAGCCCUGGGGACUGCUCUGCCCAGCAGCACAGCACCUUUAUCCAACUGCCAAUUUGAAGAUACCAUAUAGACUAACUGAAUCAGUGAUACAAAAGGGGCUUCUCUCCUCUGCCCUCUUCCUGGACCUCAGACAAAUACAUCUCACUGCUCCAUCUGCUAAUGUUUUAGACUUUCCGAGCAGCACUUUGGCAACAGCAGGAAGCAGACUGCCACACCGCAGGAGGAGUGGAUGGACUUGUUUCCUUUUUGACCCUGCUGAUGGUUUAGGAAUAUAAUCUAUACCAGGGAUUCACAACCAGGGUGCCAUGGCAUGCUUGGGUGUUGUGGAAUUAAGGGUGCUACUCAAUAGUACCACUCUUAGCCAUGCACACACCAACACAGGAUUCACAGACAAACCCAGAGAUUUCUAGUAGGAAGCCCUAAUGUUGAAGAAAACUGUUCUUGCCAGCUCUUCUUCUCUUCCAAACCCACAAUGGGUGAUUUGGUUAACAUGCAUGUCACAAAAGGACUCAUGCAAGGAGGAUCUUGCAUAAAGCACUGAAUUUCCAUUUACAGGGCUGACGUUAUGAAGGGUGAGCGUGCAACUUAAGUGAACAGCGUUUGAUUAACACAUACAAAUCCAUAGACCUUCCAUCAGGCUGUAGGCAUCACAACCAUAGCAGAGAUGCAAGACCUCUAGGAGUAGAAGUGAAAGAACAUUACAGGCAGUGAUAGUCGAGCUUUUGACCAUAUUUUUAAAAUAUAUGCUACCACAGCUGUAAAUUAAUAAAAGUCUUGGUGGUUUUUGGA